CCUGUUUUUUGAAUAAGAAAUCUUUAUUGGCGUCCCACCUGAACAAGUUCAGCGUCGUUCUCGCGAGAGGCCACCAGAGGGCGCAAGAGACCGCGGGGGUGGAAAAGGCCGCUCGCUCGAGAUUGCGCGCGGUUUGACUCUUUUCACCGACAAUAAUCUGGUGCCCAACAUUGGGCCUCGGAGAAGACUCAGGACCCUGAAGGAGUUGCCCAAAACUGGAGCUAAGGUACCAGCAGGAGCCCAUUGAAGCCUCACCGAAUUCGAGCUUCUCCUUCGGUGGAACUGGGAAGUUCUCCUGAGCCCCAACCUCCUGUUUUGGUUGAUGGUCCUUGAUUUAUUCUAAGCUGAUUUUUUCCUCUCUGUCUUUUCUCCUAGGAAGUUGGUUAAAAUCUUAAUUUUAGUUUCAGAAGUGCAUUCAAAAGGAUCUUUCUCCAUUGCCUUUUCUCUCAAAAUUAAUCUCAAUUGGCUUGUCUGUGCACACUUUGCGUGAGGAACUGAACUGUUGUUUUUCAUAAGUAAGUGAGAGACUGAGUUCCUCAGCUCUGAAGUGAAAGGGCAUUUUGCUCCUCC
rnacentral:lncRNA from 10 species